rnacentral:tRNA from 1 species
GCGAUUGUGGCGGAAUUGGUAGACGCGUAGCGUUGAGGUCGCUAUGAAUGCAAGUUCGUGGAAGUUCAAGUCUUCUCAGUCGCACCA